rnacentral:misc_RNA from 1 species
GAUGAAGAACGUAGCGAAAUGCGAUACUUGGUGUGAAUUGCAGAAUCCCGUGAGCCAUCGAGUCUUUGAACGCAAGUUGCGCCCGAAGCCAUUAGGCCGAGGGCACGCCUGCCUGGGCGUCACACGUCGUUGCCCCCCCAUCUACUCCUUCGGGAUUGCGGGGGGCGGAUGAUGGCCUCCCGUGCGCCUCGUCGCGCGGUUGGCAUAAAUGCCAAGUCCUCGGCGACGCACGCCACGACAAUCGGUGGUUGCGAAACCUCGGUUGCCCGUCGUGUGCGGUCGUCGCGCAUCGAGGGCUCGAAAAAAUUGUCGGGCUCCGGCUCGGCUUUCAACGCGACCCCAGGUCAGGCGGGGUUACCCGCUGAAUUUAAGCAUAUCAAUAAGCGGAGGA